GGGGAGAGGAGGAGGAUGACGUCGCCGUGGCGGACGUGGUGGUCGGUGGUUAGGGAGUAGGAGACGGCGGCGACUUGGCGCCAGAGUUCGGUGAAGGAGACACGCCGGCCGGUGGCGGCGUCGAUGAGAGCGGUGGUGCCGGAGUGCUGGCGGGAGGAGAUAAAGGUGGUGACGUCGAGAGGGUCGGAGGAUGGGAGGGCGACGGGGGUGCGUUUACUGUGGAAGGUGGAGGUGGCGG
rnacentral:misc_RNA from 1 species